UAUCAAAACAAAUCAAUUCUUAAAAAAAAAAAAAAACGAGGACGUCGUCGGAGUCUUAUUAAAGGCAAUUGAGGCUGCGGAGGUGUAAUGAAGGUUGGUGGUGACGGAACGGAGGCGGUGGUGGGAAGGGACGUCAACGACACCGUACAAAGUAGCAAAGGUUCUCAUUGCCUCCGGUUACGCACACCGCCUCCGGCCCGGCCUGCAUCAGAAAACCCAACGACUAAUUCGAACCGUAGAGAGGCUCAAUCAGUCUCCCCCGGAAGCCCGACGACCAAUUCGAACUGUGGGGAGGUUCGAUCACUCUCUCCCGGCGGCAGUUAGCUCCGGCAGUCC
rnacentral:lncRNA from 1 species